rnacentral:rRNA from 1 species
AUUGAACGCUGGCGGCAUGCCUUACACAUGCAAGUCGAACGGCAGCACGGGAGCAAUCCUGGUGGCGAGUGGCGAACGGGUGAGUAAUAUAUCGGAACGUGCCCAGUCGUGGGGAUAACGUAGCGAAAGCUACGCUAAUACCGCAUACGAUCUAUGGAUGAAAGCGGGGGAUCGCAAGACCUCGCGCGAUUGGAGCGGCCGAUAUCAGAUUAGGUAGUUGGUGAGGUAAAGGCUCACCAAGCCGACGAUCUGUAGCUGGUCUGAGAGGACGACCAGCCACACUGGGACUGAGACACGGCCCAGACUCCUACGGGAGGCAGCAGUGGGGAAUUUUUGGGACAAUGGGCGCAAGCCUGAUCCAGCAAUGCCGCGUGCAGGAUGAAGGCC